GCUGAACGUGUGAAAAAAACGCAUAACUGGACCACAGAAGAAAUCCAGGCCCUUAUAAAUUGACGCACUGAAAAUGACAGCCUCUUCACUGGAAAAAGGAACUCCUCCAAAACCGGAUGGGAUGAUUUUGUGAGAGCCUCUGGCCUGCAGGUCACCGCAAAGCAGGCCAAGAAGAAGUGGCACAAUUUGGUGCAAAAAUACAAGGUAGUAAAAAAAAAGAAAUGAACCAGCAUGUGAACAUGACUACAUCUGACCUAGGUUAGGUCAGAUGUAGUCAUGUUCAUUUAAACAUGCAGCCAGCUGUGCUGGAGCAGAAAUCUGGGCUGCCAGUCUGGCUCGGAGGCAGCUUCCAGACAGCUCCCUGUCUUCAGCCGCUGGA